rnacentral:rRNA from 1 species
UACAGAGGGUGCAAGCGUUGUUCGGAAUUACUGGGCGUAAAGGGCGCGUAGGCGGGUCGUUUAGUUAGAGGUGAAAGCCCAGGGCUCAACCCUGGAAUUGCCUUUAAUACUGGCGACCUUGAGUAUGGCAGAGGUGUGUGGAACUCCGAGUGUAGAGGUGAAAUUCGUAGAUAUUCGGAAGAACACCAGUGGCGAAGGCGACACACUGGGCCAUUACUGACGCUGAGGCGCGAAAGCGUGGGGAGCAAACAGG